UACGUAGGUGGCAAGCGUUGUUCGGAAUUAUUGGGCGUAAAGAGCUCGUAGGCGGUUUGUCGCGUCUGCUGUGAAAACCUGAGGCUCAACCUCGGGCUUGCAGUGGGUACGGGCAGACUAGAGUGCGGUAGGGGUGACUGGAAUUCCUGGUGUAGCGGUGGAAUGCGCAGAUAUCAGGAGGAACACCGAUGGCGAAGGCAGGUCACUGGGCCGCAACUGACGCUGAGGAGCGAAAGCAUGGGGAGCGAACAGG
rnacentral:rRNA from 1 species